UACAGAGGGUGCAAGCGUUAAUCGGAAUUACUGGGCGUAAAGUGUGCGCAGGUGGCCGCGCAAGUCGAGUGUGAAAUCCCCGAGCUUAACUUGGGAAUUGCGCUCGAAACUACGUGGCUCGAGUGUGGCAGAGGAAGGUGGAAUUCCUGGUGUAGCGGUGAAAUGCGUAGAUAUCGUCAGGAAUGCCGGUGGUGAAGACGGGUGACUGGGCUGGUUCUGACACUGAGGCACGAAAGCGUGGGGAGCGAACGGG
rnacentral:rRNA from 1 species